CAUUUUUAUACAAGCUGAUAGGGCUGUGAAUUCCUGGUUGUAUGAGACGUGAAUUCCUGGUUGCUCCACUCCAUCUUUCCGGAGUGGAGACCCCAAAUUCUGUUGGGGAAAGUGUACAACUACUGCUCUUAACUGCUUCCUGCCGACAAGGGGUGCUGUUUUGGGAAAGUGGCAGUUAAGGCUCCUCCUGAGAAUCCUCCAUCUCAGGAAGGCCCCAGUAUUGCCAGGCUGGGAGAAACCCAAGCCAUGAGGAUAGACCAUGAAUAGGAGUUCUGGUUGACAAUCCCAGUUCACUCCCAGCUUCAAAUACACAAGGCCAAGUGCCAGAUACGGGCAUAAAAAGCAAUUUUGGAAGUGGACACUCCAGUCCCAGCUGUCCUAGCCCUCAGCUAUUUGAGUUGCAUCCAGACAUGUAAAUCUUCCCAGCUGAGGCCUCAUCAUUGAGGUGCAGAAAAGGGGCAUGCCCAUUGUGCCUGUUUCUAAAUUCCUGACCCACAGAACCUCUAAUCAGCAAUACAACUGGGAUUUGAUAUCAGAUUCAUGCGAUUCCGAAGACCCUGACCACCAAAUGCAAAAGAUGCUGUAGUCUGAGUAGCUGAAAUCACUCAUAUAGGCACCACCUUACAUGACUGAUGCCCAGUAAAAGCCCUGGAGACCAAAACUUAAAUGAGCUUCUCUGAUUGACAACACUUCAAUAUGCUGUCAAAUAUUGUUGCUGGGAGAAUUACGUGUGUUCUUGUGGGAUUCCGCUGGGAGAGGACACCUGAAAGCUUGUACCUGAUAUCUACAUUUCUCCCCAUGGGCUUUUUUUCUUUGUUGAUUUUAAUCUGUAUCUUUUCAUUGUAGUAAACUGUAACUAUGAAUGUAACAUGUUUUCUAAGACCUGUGAAUCAUUGUAGUUAAUCUUUGAGCCUAAGGGUGGUCAUAAGGAGCCCCAACACACUAAUAAAUUACUUUCAUAAAGAAUAUAUAAAAGCUGUCAAAAAUCAAAAAUAAAACAAAUCACCCAAUUUUUAAAAGGCAAAAGAUUGAAAAAGACACCAUGAAAGAAGACAUGGAUGACAAAUAAGUAUAUCAAAAGAUUUUAACAUCUGUAGUCAUUAAAGAAUUGAAAACCACAAAGAAAUACUAUUGAUAGUUAUUACAAUGUCCAAAGUGAAAAAAAAGUAUUGACCCUACCAGGUAUAGGCAACAAAAUGGAGGAACUGAAACUUUAAUAUACUUUUGAUUGACAACCACUUUGUAAAAUAGAUUGACAGCUUCUUAAAAAAGUAAACCUACACUUACCACUUAAUCUAGUCAUUUAUCUUCUAGAUAUU